rnacentral:rRNA from 1 species
GAGAGUUAAAUAGUACGUGAAAUUGUUGAAAGGGAAACGAUUGAAGUCAGUCAUGCUAGUGAAAAAUCAGUUUGACGGGUUUUGAGUUCAGGAGUAGAGGCAGGGUCAAACCGUUUUUCUUUUGAACUUGGGAUUUGUUAGAUGUACUUUUUCUUUGGCAGGUCAGCGUCGAUUUCGAAGGUUGUAAAAUACUUGGGGGAAAGUAACUCUGCUUCGGGAGAGUAUUAUAGACCCUGGGGGAUGCAGCCUGCGGGAUCGAGGAUUGCAGCAAAUGCCUUUGGCUUGUCGCCUGAUCUCUGGAUGUUACCUCGCUUGUGACAACAUUCUUGCCACCUGUGGGUACUAAUGCCCAUUAGGUUAGAGCGAUCAAAAAUUUUGCUAAGGAUGCUGACGUAAUGGCUUUAAACGA